rnacentral:rRNA from 1 species
GGAGUUAGCCGGUGCUUCUUCUGUGAGUGAUGUCCUUCCUGCCGGCUAUUAACCCGCAGGCCUUCUUCCUCACUGAAAGUGCUUUACAACCCGAAGGCCUUCUUCACACACGCGGCAUGGCUGGAUCAGGGUUGCCCCCAUUGUCCAAUAUUCCCCACUGCUGCCUCCCGUAGGAGUCUGGGCCGUGUCUCAGUCCCAGUGUGGCUGAUCAUCCUCUCAGACCAGCUACGGAUCGUCGCCUUGGUGAGCCGUUACCUCACCAACCAGCUAAUCCGACAUAGGCUCAUCCGAUAGCGCGAGGCCCGAAGGUCCCCCGNUUUCCCCCGUAGGGCGUAUGCGGUAUUAGCCUGGGUUUCCCCAGGUUAUCCCCCACUACCGGGCAGAUUCCUAUGCAUUACUCACCCGUCCGCCGCUCGCCACCAGGGAGCAAGCUCCCCGUGCUGCCGCUCGACUUGCAUGNGUUAGGCCUGCCGCCAGCGUUCAAUCUGAGCCAGGAUCAAAACUCUGA